CACACGCCUGAGGAGCUCAACACUCUUGUACCACACUGGUGACCAGCAGACGCAUCGAUGGCACAGCGAGGAACCCAGCAGCUGAAGGCAGAGCAAGAACCACUGGAAUCAUCAAUGGAGACUUGGAGGGAAGAGAGGGUCCAGCACCUCAGAGAAGCCCUGGCAGAGAAGGAGGAGCAGCUCAGCAGGGCAGUGAAGAGGCGACACAUGAGGACUGUGGCCGAUGUGGAGACCCUGACCCAGCUGAACACCUCACAAGCUGCUCUGAAGGAGAGCAACCUCAAAUGUGCUUCUCUGGAGGAAACCCUCCACAGUCAGCAGCAGGAGAAAGAGGAGCGACAUAAGAGAGAGCUGAUGGAGCAGGAGGAAGGCUUCAAUAAGAAGCUCCUUAUGAUCAAGGAGGAAUUUGUGAGGAAGCUCGAGGAAGAGAAGCACAGAUCUAAUGAAGAGGAAGAGGCCUUGAGGCAGCAGCUCUUUCUAAAAGACGACAAGUUCAAGAAACUUCUUGAGGAAGAGCAACACAAAUAUCAUGAAAAGAUCUUUGAAAAAGAGGAGUCAAUGAAGCAGCAGCUGUUGACUCAAGAGGAGACCCAUAACAAGAUGCUGGCUGAUGUUUGUCAGCGGUGGGAGACGACAUCUCAAAAAUGGGUCCAGAUGAGGGAAGAGCUGGAGCAGAAGGUCCUGGAGAGCCAACGGUUGAGGCAAGAGGAGCAGGAGAGGACCAAAGAGGAGCUCCAGAGGCUCUCUGAAGCAAUCCUCCAACUUGAGCUUCAAGUAUUAAAGAAAAAGAAGAAGAAAAGCUUCUGGAGAUGGGUCUGCAAAAGGAUGAGGUUCUGGAAAAGUUAGUGAAGAACAAUUCCAGAGCUCCCAAAGCCGCCCUCCUCCUCCUCCUCCUCCUCCUCCACAUCCUGACUUCCACAGCGUCACAUUCAAGAUUGAAGAUUGAAGAUUUACUUUAUUCAUCCUCGUAGGGAAAUUGAAUUGUAGAAGCAGCCGUGGAUUAAUGGAUUAAUAUAACUGUAGUGCAGGUUUUGUAUUUACAAAGUAUAGAAAUAGAAUAAAUAAAUACAAAUAAGAUCAGAACGUUCUAAGCAUAUAUACAGCAUAUAUUAUAAGAAUAUAUAUAAUAUAUACAUAAUAUAAUAUAUACAUAUUUUAAGCAUUAUAAGCAUAUAUACAUAAAUAUAGAAUAAAAUAGAAAUAAAAUUACAACAUAAAUAUUACAAUUAUUGUUAUUGGCUGGGUUUGGAUGAAUUAUAGAGUUUAAUGGCGGCCGGCAGGAAUGACUUCCUGUACCGUUCCUUAGAGCAUCCUGUCUUUAUCAAUUUUAUUUUAAAGUAUAAUCAUUGUUUAUGUUCUAUGUUUGGAUCUGUGAUGUCGAAACAAUAAAACUCAAAGUAAACCACCAGAUUGUAGAUGUUGUCAAUGGCAGCUUUAGAAAUGGCUUCAUCUCAUUCCUUGAGUCAGUUGGUUUCCUCCAGCAGAUAAACCAACCAACUCAUAGCUUCAACCACACCUUAGAUCUAGUCCUGACUUAUGGUGUUGAGGUAGAACAUGUGUC
rnacentral:lncRNA from 1 species